rnacentral:snRNA from 1 species
AUACCGUGAUCAAUUAGGCGGUUCCCCCAGGGCGAGGCUGCUCCAUUGCACUGCGGAGUGGUUGACCCUUGCGAUUAUCCCUAAUGCGGAUAACUCGGACGCGUAAUUUUUGGUAGUGAGGA